rnacentral:rRNA from 1 species
CAGUAGCCACGGUAAUACAGAGGGUGCGAGCGUUAAUCGGAUUUACUGGGCGUAAAGCGUGCGUAGGUGGCUUCUUAAGUCGGAUGUGAAAUCCCUGAGCUUAACUUAGGAAUUGCAUUCGAUACUGGGAAGCUAGAGUAUGGGAGAGGAUGGUAGAAUUCCAGGUGUAGCGGUGAAAUGCGUAGAGAUCUGGAGGAAUACCGAUGGCGAAGGCAGCCAUCUGGCCUAAUACUGACGCUGAGGUACGAAAGCAUGGGGAGCAAACAGGAUUAGAUACCCCUGUAGUCCCUGUCUCUUAUAC